GCAUUUUCUAUCAUUUCAUUUAUUUUUUAGACAACGGUUGAUCCGAGUUUCAUGAAAUAAUUUUUAGUGUUUAUUCGCUAUUCCUAAAGUAAUAUUAAUGAGGAUCCUGUUGUCUUAUUGAGCUAAUCUUUUUAUUAGGAUUAAAAUUGAAUAUAAUGAUUUAAAAUGUCACAUUUUAAUGUGAAUCCAUUCGCUUAAACACAUUGUUACUGAUAGAUCCCGACUCAAUUUAAUCCAUAUUAGCUCAUUGAGCGAAAAAUGGACUUUUCUAGUGUGUCAAACUUGACAUUUAAAAUAUGUUUUAAUAUUUUUUAAAUUAUUAAGCAUAAACGGUGGAUACCUCGACUCCUAAAUCGAUGAAGACCGUAGCAAACUGCGAUAAUUCACUUGAAUUGCAGCCUACUGGGAUAGUUGAAACGUUGAACGCACAUGAUGACAUUGGUCCUUUCGGAUUAAGUGUUAUACCUGGGUGAGAGUGACUUUUUAAAACACAUCAUAACAAAAGAUUGACUAACGCUUGCGUUGGCUAAUCUUAAGAAGACUGAUUUGUAUAGUAAAUAAUAUCAAUAGUAUUCCUUACGGUUUACUGGAGGUAGAGUGAGCUAUACAUUUUUGCAGUACUCUGCAGUAAUCAUCACAGUUUUCUUUUAAAUACUUCAUUUUUUUACUUUAUGUAUGAUUAUAUUCAUUUUUAUGUAAUUAAUCAUGCGCAAGGGGUAGAUUAGUGAGUUUUUUUUUAGACACUUCUAUCAUUGAUUUAUCAACUAGUUGCGUUUAAAUCUAACAGACCUUUUCUAUCUGAUUAUAAUUGCAGAGACUGAGUCUUUUUCAUAUAAAAAGCAUUAAAUUUUUGUAUUUUAAUUGAUAUUUCGACUGUUUAGUUGGUUCAAUCAGCAUAGGGUGCUACCCUUAAUUAGACUAAUUUGAACCCAUAACUUUACAUGU
rnacentral:misc_RNA from 1 species